UCUCGAUUGGUCUAGUGGUUAGGAUACCUGCUUGUCAAUAGAAGCAAGCCGCAGGUGGCCGGGGUUCGAUUCCCCGAUCGAGAG